rnacentral:rRNA from 1 species
UACGUAGGUAGCAAGCGUUAUCCGGAUUUACUGGGUGUAAAGGGCGUGUAGGCGGGAGUGCAAGUCAGAUGUGAAAACCACGGGCUCAACCUGUGGCCUGCAUUUGAAACUGUACUUCUUGAGUACUGGAGAGGCAGACGGAAUUCCUAGUGUAGCGGUGAAAUGCGUAGAUAUUAGAAGGAACACCAGUGGCGAAGGCGGUCUGCUGGACAGCAACUGACGCUGAGGCGCGAAAGCGUGGGGAGCAAACAGG